ACUUUUGAUAAUGAUGAUAUUUUUUUUCCCCGUCAUAUCGAUGUAUGAAGAAAAAGCCAUAUAAAAAGCCAUUUUAACUGAAUCAAAAGU
rnacentral:snoRNA from 1 species